UGGCGGAGUAGUUUAAUCGGAUUAAAAUGUCGCUCUCAUAAAGCGAAGAUUACAGGUUCAAAUCCUGUCUCCGCAACCA
rnacentral:tRNA from 1 species